rnacentral:misc_RNA from 1 species
UAUUCUCAACUCUUCAAAGCUUUUGCAAUGAACAGUUGGAUUUGGAGGCUUGUGUCGGCUCGCAAGAGUGGACUCCUCUGAAAUGCAUCAGUGUGAACCUUUACGGAUCGCCUUCAGUGUGAUAAUGUCUACGCUGUGGUGUUGAAGUAUCUCUAGUGUUCAUGCUUCUAAUCGUCUCUUCGAGACAAUUACUUGACA